UACAGAGGUCUCAAGCGUUGUUCGGAUUCACUGGGCGUAAAGGGUGCGUAGGUGGCGAGGUAAGUCGGAUGUGAAAUCUCGGAGCUUAACUCCGAAACUGCAUUGGAAACUACUUUGCUCGAGGGUUGGAGGGGGGGACUGGAAUUCUCGGUGUAGCAGUGAAAUGCGUAGAUAUCGAGAGGAACACCAGUGGCGAAGGCGAGUCCCCUGGACAACUCCUGACACUGAGGCACGAAAGCUAGGGGGAGCAAACAGG
rnacentral:rRNA from 1 species